rnacentral:rRNA from 1 species
UUAGCUGGUCUGAGAGGAUGAUCAGCCACAUUGGGACUGAGACACGGCCCAGACUCCUACGGGAGGCAGCAGUGGGGAAUCUUGCGCAAUGGGCGAAAGCCUGACGCAGCCAUGCCGCGUGAAUGAUGAAGGUCUUAGGAUUGUAAAAUUCUUUCACCGGGGACGAUAAUGACGGUACCCGGAGAAGAAGCCCCGGCUAACUUCGUGCCAGCAGCCGCGGUAAUACGAAGGGGGCUAGCGUUGCUCGGAAUUACUGGGCGUAAAGGGAGCGUAGGCGGACAUUUAAGUCAGGGGUGAAAUCCCGGGGCUCAACCUCGGAAUUGCCUUUGAUACUGGGUGUCUUGAGUAUGAGAGAGGUGUGUGGAACUCCGAGUGUAGAGGUGAAAUUCGUAGAUAUUCGGAAGAACACCAGUGGCGAAGGCGACACACUGGCUCAUUACUGACGCUGAGGCUCGAAAGCGUGGGGAGCAGACAGGAUUAGAUACCCUGGUAGUCCACGCCGUAGACGAUGAUUGCUAGUUGUCGGGAUGCAUGCAUUUCGGUGACGCAGCUAACGCAUUAAGCAAUCCGCCUGGGGAGUACGGUCGCAAGAUUAAUACUCAAAGGAAUUGACGGGGGCCCGCACAAGCGGUGGAGCAUGUGGUUUAAUUCGAAG